GAGUUUGAUCAUGGCUCAGGACGAACGCUGGCGGCGUGCUUAACACAUGCAAGUCGAACGAUGAACCACCUUCGGGUGGGGAUUAGUGGCGAACGGGUGAGUAACACGUGGGCAAUCUGCCCUGCACUCUGGGACAAGCCCUGGAAACGGGGUCUAAUACCGGAUACUGACCCUCGCAGGCAUCUGCGAGGUUCGAAAGCUCCGGCGGUGCAGGAUGAGCCCGCGGCCUAUCAGCUAGUUGGUGAGGUAAUGGCUCACCAAGGCGACGACGGGUAGCCGGCCUGAGAGGGCGACCGGCCACACUGGGACUGAGACACGGCCCAGACUCCUACGGGAGGCAGCAGUGGGGAAUAUUGCACAAUGGGCGAAAGCCUGAUGCAGCGACGCCGCGUGAGGGAUGACGGCCUUCGGGUUGUAAACCUCUUUCAGCAG
rnacentral:rRNA from 1 species